rnacentral:rRNA from 1 species
AGAAUCAACGCUGGCGGCGUGCCUAACACAUGCAAGUCGAACGAGAAAGGGGUAGCAAUACCCUGAGUAAAGUGGCGCACGGGUGAGUAACACGUGACUAACCUACCCUUGAGUGGGGGAUAACUGAGGGAAACCUUAGCUAAUACCGCAUAAUACCCACGGGUCAAAGGAGCAAUUCGCUCGAGGAGGGGGUCGCGGCCGAUUAGUUAGUUGGCGGGGUAAUGGCCCACCAAGACGAUGAUCGGUAUCCGGCCCGAGAGGGCGCACGGACACACUGGAACUGAAACACGGUCCAGACUCCUACGGGAGGCAGCAGUGGGGAAUUUUGCGCAAUGGGGGAAACCCUGACGCAGCAACGCCGCGUGGAGGAUGAAGUCCUUCGGGACGUAAACUCCUUUCGAUCGGGACGAUUAUGACGGUACCGGAAGAAGAAGCCCCGGCUAACUUCGUGCCAGCAGCCGC